rnacentral:snoRNA from 1 species
AAGACUAUGCUUUCAGGGAUCAUUUCUGUAGUUUCUGACUUGGAAGUUUGAUUUGAAAGUGUAACGUCUCUCUAACCACGAUGACGAGUUAAGAUGCUUUCUUCUGAGCGUGAAUCGGGUGGUGAGCGACGAGCGAGAUUGUCUGCUCUCUGUCAUUGAUGAACGUUCCUGCUGUGCUUUGCAGUCUGGAAGAAGAAAGCAUGUUCAGAGUGGU